rnacentral:lncRNA from 1 species
GGGGGGGAGGGACGGCGGGGGGGGGGGGAAGAAGGCAGGGAACGGGGAGGGGGGGAAACGAAUGGAGAGGAAGGGGGGCGGGGAGGAAGCGGGGGAGCAAACGAACGAGGGGGGAGUGGGCCAGGGAACCCCCUCCGCUUCCGGGUAGUUGGCGUCACUUCCGGGCGAGCCCCCCAAUCGCACGGCGCCCGCAGCUCCCCAGCCCUACCCUCCCGGCCAAGAUGGCCGCCCUCCUGUGCCUCAGCUGCUGGGCGGGGGACCGGGGGGUUCUCCCCGCCAGGGCUCCCCUUCCCCUCUUCCGUUGACCCCGAAACCCAUCAGGUUGACCCCUCGGCGUUUCAGAAUCCGGCUGGCCCGAGUGAGGCGGUCCAAAGUGAUCCCUGGAGGGGGCAGUGCCAGACGUUUUGGGGUCCCCUUCCUCAGCGUCGCAGCUCACAGCUUUCCUCCUGGAGAAACGCCCCCUAACACCCUCCCGGCUGCUGGUGGAGGGGCGGGACCUCUGAGGGAAGGGGCGGAGCUAGUGCAAAGCAGGUGAUUACGUGUCACUUCCGGGAGAUGGGAUGACCUCAUUGUGUAGUUAGACAACACCCCCCCCCAAUCAAAAUGUCUAUGUCUCACCUCUUUGGCUGUUUCUAUUUUCUUUUAAAUUUCUCUUAUUCUUCUCUUAUUUUGAGGGUCUUUAAAAAUUACAUAAGUCAGAUUUUCACAAUCAAGUUACUGAUUCUCACUUCCAUUUAGACACCUCUCCUCUUACCUCUGUUGACCUCCUGAUUUUCCUGUCACUGACAACUUAACCACCUUUUGUAAUAAAGUUUCCAUCAUUACCUUAAAAAAGCUUCAGGCAAAAUUCAAUUGGAAAUCAGCCUGGUUGGGUCUUACAUGUUGGAGCAAGGAAUGAAUGGGCAUAUUGUGACCUUGAAUAUAUUUUCUGCCCUAUGGAAAUAUAUUCUACCAACUUUUUUUUUAAUAUGCAAUUUUUAAAUUCUGUGAUCUUAAUUUGGAAAAUGCAGAACUAGCCAGGGCUUAACCUGUAUCAAUUAUUUGUUCAGGUUAUUUAAAUGUGUAAGGAGUGCCUUUUAGAAUUUUUUUGGUGCUAAGGCGCUGUGGGUAAACAUUGCUUUAAAUAAGGAAAAAAAUGUUAUCAAUGUGCUAUAUCAUUAAAGUAGGUGCAGGAUACACUACUUAAACUUAGCUAACAAAUUACAAAAGUGAAACAGCACUGAAUGGAUUUGAAUUACAAUGAUCUUCCAGUGAAAGUAUUUUUGAAGCCAGAUAGCCAAAAUAGGGCAAGCUACAUGGUUACAGUUGUUCCUGAUCAGAUGAAAUGAACAUUUUACAGUUAAAAAAAAGAAUGAGGGGGAAAAAAAUCCCUGAAUUUUCUCAUUGACUUCCCUAGAUUUUUGAACUCAUUUUUGUGAUUCUGUCUACUUCUCCAUUCACUAAAGUCUUCUAAUAAUGCCAAUAACUGUCUUUAGAAUGUUAAGAGUACAAAUUAGGUAAUAUUUAUAUGGCUGGAGGUUCUAUGGCAGAAAGGUGCGUUUGACAACUUCAAUAGUUACUUUGAUACUAUUGAAUACUAUGGCACCUAUGAGUUUUGGGAGUGGCAGGGUAGAUGGGGAUACUACAUUUUAGGACACAGCUUUUCAUGAGUAUAUAUGCCAGUGUGAAAUCUCUGAAGACUUUAGAAAAAUUACUAAUAGUGAAUUUUUACUCCCAUACAUUGGGAAGAGGGGAGUGAUUCCAAAAUCAACUUUUAGAAACCAGCCAUAUAACUGUAUCCAUGUAUUUCAUGCUAUGAUUUAAGCCUCAUACUCCCUAUGGUAUGUAAAACUCAUACUCAUAUGUAAGCCUCAUACUCCCUAUGGUAGUAAAACUUAAGGCCAGCAGGUAAAGAUUAUUUCUGCAUAUAGAUGGGAUUCUGUUUCUUUGCUGAAUUUGAAUGAAUAACACCUUACAUGGCAUAAAUAUAGAGUAGGAUUGCCCAGGUAUGAACCCCAAUUUCACUAAAAUAGUAACAUGAAUAAUGUGAGCAAGAUUACCUCUUCAAAUCUCAGUUUUCACCUUGAUAUAAUAGAAAUAACAACAGUGACUUUUCUGAAAAGUUGCUGGGCAGAGUAAAGGUGGUAAUCCUUUCAAGGAUCUCAAUAUGAUACCUGAUAGGCAGCUAAGCACUAGAGAGUAACUGCUAUUAUUAUUACUGUUGUUAUUAUUAUGUUUGCAUAAUACUGACAUGUUUCUACUUAAAUUCUAUCGCUGAGUG